rnacentral:rRNA from 1 species
UGCUACAAUGGGUAGUACAGAGGGUUGCCAAGCCGUAAGGUGGAGCUAAUCCCUUAAAGCUACUCUCAGUUCGGAUUGUAGGCUGAAACUCGCCUACAUGAAGCUGGAGUUACUAGUAAUCGCAGAUUAGAAUGCUGCGGUGAAUGCGUUCCCGGGUCUUGUACACACCGCCCGUCACACCACGGGAGUUGGAGACGCCCGAAGCCGACUAUCUAACCUUUUGGAAGAAGUCGUCGAAGGUGGAAUCAAUAACUGGGGUGAAGUCGUAACAAGGUAGCCGUAUCGGAAGGUGCGGCUGGAUCACCUCCUUUCUAAGGAGA